CAGGCUUAACACAUGCAAGUCGAGGGGCAGCAUGGUCUUAGCUUGCUAAGGCCGAUGGCGACCGGCGCACGGGUGAGUAACACGUAUCCAACCUGCCGUCUACUCUUGGACAGCCUUCUGAAAGGAAGAUUAAUACAAGAUGGCAUCAUGAGUCCGCAUGUUCACAUGAUUAAAGGUAUUCCGGUAGACGAUGGGGAUGCGUUCCAUUAGAUAGUAGGCGGGGUAACGGCCCACCUAGUCUUCGAUGGAUAGGGGUUCUGAGAGGAAGGUCCCCCACAUUGGAACUGAGACACGGUCCAAACUCCUACGGGAGGCAGCAGUGAGGAAUAUUGGUCAAUGGGCGAGAGCCUGAACCAGCCAAGUAGUGUGAAGGAUGACUGCCCUAUGGGUUGUAAACUUCUUUUAUAAAGGAAUAAAGUCGGGUAUGGAUACCCGUUUGCAUGUACUUUAUGAAUAAGGAUCGGCUAACUCCGUGCCAGCAGCCGCGGUAAUACGGAGGAUCCGAGCGUUAUCCGGAUUUAUUGGGUUUAAAGGGAGCGUAGAUGGAUGUUUAAGUCAGUUGUGAAAGUUUGCGGCUCAACCGUAAAAUUGCGGUUGAUACUGGAUAUCUUGAGUGCAGUUGAGGCAGGCGGAAUUCGUGGUGUAGCGGUGAAAUGCUUAGAUAUCACGAAGAACUCCGAUUGCGAAGGCAGCCUGCUAAGCUGCAACUGACAUUGAGGCUCGAAAGUGUGGGUAUCAAACAGGAUUAGAUACCCUGGUAGUCCACACGGUAAACGAUGAAUACUCGCUGUUUGCGAUAUACAGCAAGCGGCCAAGCGAAAGCGUUAAGUAUUCCACCUGGGGAGUACGCCGGCAACGGUGAAACUCAAAGGAAUUGACGGGGGCCCGCACAAGCGGAGGAACAUGUGGUUUAAUUCGAUGAUACGCGAGGAACCUUACCCGGGCUUAAAUUGCAGAUGAAUUACGGCGAAAGCCGUAAGCCGCAAGGCAUCUGCGAAGGUGCUGCAUGGUUGUCGUCAGCUCGUGCCGUGAGGUGUCGGCUUAAGUGCCAUAACGAGCGCAACCCUUGUUGUCAGUUACUAACAGGUUCUGCUGAGGACUCUGACAAGACUGCCAUCGUAAGAUGUGAGGAAGGUGGGGAUGACGUCAAAUCAGCACGGCCCUUACGUCCGGGGCUACACACGUGUUACAAUGGGGGGUACAGAGGGCCGCUACCACGCGAGUGGAUGCCAAUCCCCAAAACCUCUCUCAGUUCGGACUGGAGUCUGCAACCCGACUCCACGAAGCUGGAUUCGCUAGUAAUCGCGCAUCGGCCACGGCGCGGUGAAUACGUUCCCGGGCCUUGUACACACCGCCCGUCAAGCCAUGGGAGCCGGGGGUACCUGAAGUGCGUAACCGCGAGGAGCGCCCUAGGGUAAAACUGGUGACUGGGGC
rnacentral:rRNA from 1 species